rnacentral:lncRNA from 1 species
CAGAACAUAAAGGCUGUUAGGCUUAGAUUGUGGCUUCCAAUUCCAAUCAAAUCGCAUGCAUCUCUCAUAUUCAGUAUGUGAUACUUUGGCUCUUCGAAAAUCGCAUUAAUGAGUUGUUUCAAUUAACUUGAUCCAUUUUUCACGGGAAAGAUAAGAGGCACAUCGUUUCGGAUCUCCAUAUACAAAUUUUUUUCCUUUCAUUGUUUCUUUGUGUCUCCAUGGUUUUUCAAAUAUCAGAGAUUUGUUGAGUGUUGCUGGACAUCUUUUGAAAGCUGUAUGUGGAUCAGUACGAAGUCGGACAAUGGGAGUCCUAGCUUCGAAUGAGACUUAUUAAUUUCUUUUUCUUUUUGGAUCUCUUCUCUCUCUCUCUCUCUCU